rnacentral:rRNA from 1 species
UGCGGAAUAUUGCACAAUGGGCGCAAGCCUGAUGCAGCGACGCCGCGUGUGGGAUGAAGGGGCUACGCCUCGUAAACCACUGUAGCCCGGGACGAAAAACGCCUUAGAGGCGUUAGACGGUACCGGGAAAGUAAGGGUCGGCUAACUACGUUCCAGCAGCCGCGGUAAUACGUAGGACCCAAGCGUUGUCCGGCUUUACUGGGCGUAAAGGGUGCGCAGGCGGAUGGGUAAGUCAGGGGUGAAAGUCUGCAGCUUAACUGUAGAAUUGACGUUGAUACUGGUCAUCUUGAGUGUGGGAGAGGUUGAUGGAAUUCCAAGUGUAGCAGUGAAAUGCGUAGAUAACUGGAAGAACACCAGUGGCGAAGGCGGUCAACUGACCCAUAGCUGACGCUCAUGCACGAAAGCGUGGGGAGCAAACA